rnacentral:rRNA from 1 species
UGGGGAAUUUUGGACAAUGGGCGAAAGCCUGUUCCAGCAAUGCCGCGUGAGUGAAGAAGGCCUUCGGGUUGUAAAGCUCUUUUGUCAGGGAAGAAACGGUGAGAGCUAAUAUCUCUUGCUAAUGACGGUACCUGAAGAAUAAGCACCGGCUAACUACGUGCCAGCAGCCGCGGUAAUACGUAGGGUGCAAGCGUUAAUCGGAAUUACUGGGCGUAAAGCGUGCGCAGGCGGUUUUGUAAGUCUGAUGUGAAAUCCCCGGGCUCAACCUGGGAAUUGCAUUGGAGACUGCAAGGCUAGAAUCUGGCAGAGGGGGGUAGAAUUCCACGUGUAGCAGUGAAAUGCGUAGAUAUGUGGAGGAACACCGAUGGCGAAGGCAGCCCCCUGGGUCAAGAUUGACGCUCAUGCACGAAAGCGUGGGGAGCAAACAGGAUUAGAUACCCUGGUACGUCCACGCCCUAAACGAUGUCUACUAGUUGUCGGGUCUUAAUUGUACG